AUUUUUUUCUUUUGCAGAGAAUCGAGGCUUUUUUAUAUGCUCAGCUUGCAGUAUUUUGUUCUUUCCUAGAGAGUCAAGGCUUUUUUAGCUGCACAGCUUGAGGGGAAUCAGAUUAUCAAAUUGGGUCAUGUAAUUGAAAGUGUUAAAAGUGCUAUAGAUGGAGUGUCAUGGCAAGUCACUGAAGGUCCUCUACAGAUUUUUGGAUUACUUAAGCAAAUUUGAUUGGGAGAAAUACUGUGUAAGUUUAAAUGGACCAGUUUACAAAUCCUCUCUACCUAAUAUUGUGGCUGAAGUACCAGAUAAUAGAGGGGAUGAUGUACUGCUAGGUGAAGAGUUUAUUAGAAACUGUGUACCAUCAAAGGGGUGUGAGACAAACUUACGAGUUUGUUCCUUAUAAUUGAUCCACUAAAAGAGAACAACCACCUUGGCCGUAGUGUCAAUAGAGGUAGCUUCUAUCGAAAAUGUAGUGCUUUUUAAAUAUGGAGCUCGCAAGCUAGGCUGGAUUCUCUUGUUACCAGCAGAGAGAAUAUCAGAUGAACUUAACAAGUUUUUAGCAACACUUUGGAUAGGCAUGAAAGUAAAUGUCAGACUACUGUGCAAAAUAAUGCCUUGUUGGAGCUGGGUGAAGAUUUGGAGUUGAUACCAGUAAAUGAAACAUCAACUAUGUCUCUUUUUGGUAGGUUUAAGCUUUGUAAGUUGCAAUAAGUUUCUUUAUUCUCGGAUAAGCUAGUGCAAUAAGUUGUAUUUACAUAUCUAUUACGACUUUAGAUUUUGAUCGAAAGUGAUGAUGUAUAUGAAUACAUUUGUAGACAUA